rnacentral:rRNA from 1 species
UUGAACGCUGGCGGCAGGCCUUAACACAUGCAAGUCGAGCGGCAGCACAGGGUACUGUACAUAUGGGUGGCGAGUGGCGGACGGUGCGUAAUGCCUAGGAAUCUGCCUGGUAGCUGGGGGACAACGUCCGAGGAAACGAACGGCUAAUACCGCAUAAGUAUACGAGAGAUUAAAGCAGGGGUACGUAUAGGCCUGCAGCUAUCAGAUGAGCCUAGCGUCCGGAUUAGCUAGUUGGUGAGGGUAAUGGCUCACCAAGGGCGAUGAUCCGUAACUGGUCUGAGAGGAUGAUCAGCUCACACUGGGAACUGAGACACGGCUCCAGACUCCUACGGGAGGCAGCAGUGGGGAAUAUUGGACAAUGGGGCGAAAGCCCUGAUCCAGCCAUGCCGCGUGUGUGAAGAAGGCUCUUCGGAUUGUAAAGCACUUUAAGUUGGAGAGGAAGGAUGUGUAAUUUAAUAGAUACACAUUUUGACUGUAUCCGACAGAAUAAGCACCGGCUAACUCUGUGCCAGCAGCCGCGGUAAUACAGAGGGUGCAAGCGUUAAUCGGAAGUUACUGGGCGUAAAGGGCGCGUAGGCUGGUUAGUUAAGUUAGGAUGUGAAAUCCCUGGGCUUAACCUAGGGACCUGCAUCUAAAUACUGUAUGAGCUAGGAGUAUGUAGAGGUAGGUGGAAUUUCCGGUGUAGCGGUGAAAUGCGUAGAUAUCGGAAGGAACACCAGUGGCGAAGGCGACUAUCCUGGACUGACUACUGACACUGAGGUCGCGAAAGCGUGGGGAGCAAACAGGAUUAGAUACCCUGGUAGUCCACGCCUGUAAACGAUGAGAACUAGCAUGUUGGUAGGCCUGAGCCUAUUAGUAUCGAAGCUAACGCGAUAAGUUGCUCCGCCUGGGGAGUACGGCCGCAAGGCUAAAACUCAAAGGAAUUGGACGGGGGCCCGCACAAGCGGUGGAGCAUGUGGUUUAAUUCGAUGCAACGCGAGAACCUUACCUACCCUUGACAUCCAGAGAAUUUUGCAGAGAUGCGAAAGUGCCGAAAGGAACUUUGAGACAGGUGCUGCAUGGCUGUCGUCAGCUCGUGUUGUGAGAUGUUGGGUUAAGGUCCCGUAACGAGCGCAACCCUUAUCCUUAGUUACCAUCAUUAGUUGGGGACUCUAAGGAGACUGCUGGUGAUGAACCGGAGGAAGGCGGGGACGACGUCAAGUCAUCAUGGCCUUUAUGGGUAGGGCUACACACGUGCUACAAUGGACAGUACAGAGGGAAGCCAACUCGCGAGAGGGAGCCAAUCCAGAAAGCUGUUCGUAGUCCGGAUCGGAGUCUGCAACUCGACUCCGUGAAGUCGGAAUCGCUAGUAAUCGCGAAUCAGAAUGUCGCGGUGAAUACGUUCCCGGGCCUUGUACACACCGCCCGUCACACCAUGGGAGUGGGUCGUACCAGAAGUAGGUAGAAUAACCGCAAGGGGUUCGCUUACCACGGUAUGGUUCAUGACUGGGGUG